CCUACGGGGGGCAGCAGUGAGGAAUAUUGGUCAAUGGGCGCGAGCCUGAACCAGCCAAGUCGCGUGAGGGAAGACGGUCCUAUGGAUUGUAAACCUCUUUUGUCGGGGAGCAAAAGACGCCACGCGUGGCGUUCCGAGAGUACCCGAAGAAAAAGCAUCGGCUAACUCCGUGCCAGCAGCCGCGGUAAUACGGAGGAUGCGAGCGUUAUCCGGAUUUAUUGGGUUUAAAGGGUGGGCAGGCGGAAGAUCAAGGCAGCGGUAAAAUUGAGAGGCUCAACCUCGUCGAGCCGUUGAAACUGGUUUUCUGGAGUGGGCGAGAAGUAUGCGGAAUGCGUGGUGUAGCGGUGAAAUGCAUAGAUAUCACGCAGAACACCGAUUGCGAAGGCAGCAUACCGGCGCUCAACUGACGCUCAUGCACGAAAGUGUGGGUAUCGAACAGGAUUAGAUACCCUGGUAGUC
rnacentral:rRNA from 1 species